rnacentral:rRNA from 1 species
UACGGAGGGUGCAAGCGUUAUCCGGAUUCACUGGGUUUAAAGGGUGCGUAGGUGGGCAAGUAAGUCAGUGGUGAAAUCUCCGGGCUUAACCCGGAAACUGCCAUUGAUACUAUUUGUCUUGAAUACUGUGGAGGUCAGCGGAAUAUGUCAUGUAGCGGUGAAAUGCUUAGAUAUGACAUAGAACACCAAUUGCGAAGGCAGCUGGCUACACAAAUAUUGACACUGAGGCACGAAAGCGUUGGGGAGCAAACAGG